UUGUUGUAGACGCGCGAAGAAAAACUGUUGACAAAUGAAAAAAUUUGAUAGUAAAAUCAUCCUUAAUAGUUGUAAAUGAUAUGUAACAUCAAUGUAUUGCUGGAAAAUACCUGAUUUUUAUUCCUUGGACGUGUAUUUUACUUUCACCUGAGUUUAUUCCGCAGAAGACGUUUGAGGUGAAUAUUCCAAGAUGGCGGUCGCUGGACAACAAGUUCCACCGUUUCCUGCUCCGCAAGGUAACUGAUUGAAUGGAUAUUUUUUAACGUAACUGCUUUAAAAUAGAUGCACUAUAAUGAGGCUUUGAUUGUAUAGUCUACCUGAAAACCAAAUGUAUUUCCAUUAAAACUGCUCUCUACUCUAGUACUA
rnacentral:lncRNA from 1 species